rnacentral:rRNA from 1 species
ACGGAAGGCAGCAGUGGGGAAUAUUGCACAAUGGGGGAAACCCUGAUGCAGCAACGCCGCGUGAAGGAUGAAGGCCCUUGGGUCGUAAACUUCUGUUCUAAGGGAAGAUGAUGACGGUACCUUAGGAGCAAGUCCCGGCUAACUACGUGCCAGCAGCCGCGGUAAUACGUAGGGGGCAAGCGUUAUCCGGAAUUAUUGGGCGUAAAGAGUACGUAGGCGGUUUCCUAAGCAUGGGGUUUAAGGCAAUGGCCUAACCAUUGUUCGCCCCAUGAACUGGGUUACUUGAGUGCUGGAGAGGAAAGCGGAAUUCCUAGUGUAGCGGUGAAAUGCGUAGAUAUUAGGAGGAACACCAGUGGCGAAGGCGGCUUUCUGGACAGUAACUGACGUUGAGGCUCGAAAGCGUGGGGAGCAAACAGGAUUAGAUACCCUGGUA